CAAAACUGCACAGCCCCUAAGAAUUCCCUCACCUGCCCCCUUUGUGACCUCAUACAAAGGCUUGGCUAAUACUGCAAAGUUUGGGAUGCAGAGUCUACAAAACCCCACAGCCCCUAAGAAUUCCCUCACCUGCCUUCUGCCCUUAGGCUCCGGUAGACUGCAAAUGACCUGCUUUCUUUCUGUUCCCGGGCUGCGUUUGGACCCCUGUCGGACAGUAAAUCCCAAGUAAGGUACCUGCCCUCGGCAGAUUUGAGCUUUCUUCUUGGACACCUAAUACCCACAGUCCUCCAGGUGGGUCCUAAGGUUCUUAGGAUCCGCGAUGGGGGUCCUAAGCCAGGGGGGUAUGAGGGGCUGGCUCUCAGUCCCCACCUCGCUGGGGGUGCCUCCCCCGCCCUGCGAUGGGGGCCCUAAGAGCCGGGGGCAGAAGGGGGGCUGCCUCUGAGUCCCCGCCUCGUGGGGGGUGCCUCCCCCCCUGCGAUGGGGGUCCUAAGAGCCGGGGGCAGAAGGGGGGCUGCCUCUGAGUCCCCGCCUCGUUGGGGGUGCCUCCCCCUCCUGCGAUGGGGGCCCUCAGAGCCAGGGGGGGAGAGGGGCUGGCUCUCGGUCCCUGCCUUGUUGGGGGUGCCUCCCCCCCUGCGAUUGGGGUCUUGAGAGCCAGGGGGGAAGAGGGGCUGGCUCUCAGUCCCUGCCUUGUUGGGGGUGCCUCCCCCCCUGCGAUGGGGGCCCUGAGAGCCAGGGGGGAAGAGGGGCUGGCUCUCAGUCCCUGCCUCGUGGGGGGUGCCUCCCUCCCCUGCGAUGGGGGUCCUGAGAGCCGGGGGGGAUGAGGGGCUGGCUCUCAGUCCCUGCCUCGUGGGGGGUGCCUCUCCCCCUGCGAUGGGGGCCCUGAGAGCCGGGGGCGGAAGAGGGGCUGGCUCUUACUCCCCUGCGAUGGGGAUCGUCAUAUCCACAGGGCGAGAGGGGGGUGAUAUGACUGCCUGCCUUGCGGGUGGCGCCCGCCCCCCUGCGAUGUGGAUCGUCUUAUCCAGAGUGUGAAAGGAAUGGAACAGAUAAGAAGAUACUGAAAUUGGACGGUGCUGCCGUGCGGCUGCCGCAGGACACCUUUAAUAUCCCUGUUUCUCAGGCUGUAGAUGAAGGGGUUCAGCAUGGAGGUGAUCACCGUGUACAUCACUGAGGCCACUGCAGCCUUUCUCGGGGAAGAUGACACAUCUGAACUGAGGUACCCUCCAAAGCCUGUUCCGUAAAAUCAGCAAACAACUGACAGGAUAACUUCAGGAAGUGGGUAUUAAUUCUCACGGUAUAAGUGAAGACAUUAAGCACCAGAGUUUAAGUAGCUUGAUCCACUGAAAGAGAUUCAACUGUGUGGAACCUAUGCCGUGGAGAAUUGCUUUCUGCCAUUGUUAUCGUCCAGCAGUUGCCGAAUAGCUCUGACCUGAGCAAAGCAGUGAAACGCGGUGCUGUUGAGUGGGUUGCCACUGCACCUUUUUCAACUACUCUAGUCUUGUGGAGAAAAUACCCCUUCUAAAUUUUUUCUUCAUUGAAUACUCUCCCUCAGCUCCAGAGUACCAUAUAGAGUUUUCUUGUAUUUUAGAGUUACUGUUUUAUCAAAGUUUACCAGUCUUUUGUAUUACAUUUCUCCUGUCUAAAUCGACUGUGUGGUUUCUACUCAUUAUGGAUAUAGAUUGAUACAAACUCAAUAAAUAUUUUUGAAUGAAUAACUCCACAGUCCAAGUUAUUUUAAUCACUAUACAAAAUCUCCAGAGUUUCUCCCAUAUUUCUGAACAUGGUAACUAUGUAUCAAGAGACAAACCACAAAUUUAAAGAAGGUGUGGUCAAAUUUU
rnacentral:lncRNA from 1 species